AUAAAGCAAUACAUUUUUGAGAGCCCACAGCAAUUCUCUAUCCUACGUGGCGCUCUCAAAAGUCUCUAUUUUGAUUUAUCUAAUCCUGUAUUAUUCAUUUUACAUCUCAAUUCUCAAGGUCUGCUAGAAAAUCAAUUCUGAUAUUCAAUCAUCCGUUACAAAUUAGAGGCGCAAUAGAUCUGCAAUACUUCUCAAAUUUCUCUCCAUCCCUCUGCAAAUUUCAUGCUCAAUCACCGUUACAAAACUUAGAUUAGCAAUUGAUCUGCAAAUAUUCUCAAAUCCCUCUCCAUCCGUCUGCAAUCACCGUUCUCAAAUCUCAUCUUCCGAUCAUUCUUGAAUCUCUCCAUCCAUCUGCAAAUCGUUCUCAAAUCCCAUCUCCUGCCGUCUACAAAUCCUUAUCACAACAAUUGAUAUGCUAAUCUCUAUAUACCGGGUCUCCCACCGCUGAUACAUCAAAAUUGGCAGGAUUUGGUGCUCCAUCUCCCCGCCUGAUUCCGAACUAUUUUUUUGAGGUAAACCCUAAUCAGGUGGAUCUACUCCGAUUGAGGAUUUUUAAGCGACGACGAUGGCAACUUCUAGAAGCGCAUUAGCAGCAGUUCGGCUGAGUAGAUCGGCAGCAUCAGCCUUUCGGGCAUCCGGCGCUGGUCACACUCCAUCCGCCGCCCUCCAAUCGACCCGCCCCCGAUCUCGCUGCUCCUAUCGCGCUCCCGUGCCCUAAUGUCCCCCGGUGGCAGCAACAUAUCUUUUGUCACUCUUUUCUCUGCGUCAUGCCUCAAUCGCGUAGCAUCCUGCCCUACUCUAACUCUUCUUCGCAGGUUAAAGUUGCCUUGAUUGACAUGAUGCUGGAAGCACUUGUCUUAACUUAACGUCAGCAGAAUUGAAAGUCAAAGUGUGUCUUAAUCUUCAUGGUAUUGUGUCUGUUGAAUUAGCAACGGGACAUAUGAUGCACCUUUUGCUUCACAACCAGAAUAGUAAUGAAGUGGCUCAUAGAAUCUUGCUCAGAUGCACAAUCUUACUCAAUUUUCUAAUUUUAUGAUUGGAGACACAAAUGAUAACCAUGAUGUACUCACCAUCAUGCUAGAUAGACACAAGUCUUUUAAAGUCAAGGUGGGAACGAGAUCUGACAAUCGGGCACAAUUUUCUAACAUUUCUCCUGAUGAGGUAAGUGUUUUUAAAAUAAAUAAAUGUGUAGAUUAUAUAUUGGUUAUUUAAUAAACAUCAAAAAAAUUAUUUGAUUUUCUUUAUGAAAUUUCGAAAAAUCGCCUCCAAAUAUAAGAGUUCUACUAAUUCCACCGAGAAAAAUGCAAUGGGCGAGGUAAAUACAAAUAUACUUUUAUUAUUUUUAUUUUUAGACUUUAUUAAAGUCAUAUUUAAAUACAAAUUGAAUGAUUUGACUGCUAAAAAAAUUCUGGCAGAUUGCUCCACCAUUGAUGAGGCAAGUUGUUAAACAAACUUUUACAUGAAUCAUAGUUGAUUUUUUUAUCUGCAGCACGAAUUAGAUGACAUGAGAUCUAUUUUGAUUAUAUGCAGGUUAUGGAAACAUUGCUGCAAAAGUUUGUUGAACUAGAGCAAACAGCUAAAGACCAAGUUGCAGACAAUGCAAUUCCUGGUAAAGAUCUGCUGGACACGAUGUGUAGCUAAGACACCAUGAUAAAAGAGUGGUUGUGUGUGGGUAGAUUUGCAAGAGCGUUGGAAGCUCUUUGGUGAUAUGGAGGCUCACGGAGUUCAUCCUUAUUCGAUCAUAUAUAAAAAAAGUUCCUUACAAUUUGUAUUAUACUAUGUAAUAUGGAAGUUUUUUUUGUCAUUGUUUUUCUUAUAUUAGAACAUAAUCUUUUACCUAAAAAAAAAUGAGUAAAUGACAUAAUGUUUCUCAUGGAUAAAAUUCUAUCGAAUGUAAAUAUUAGAUUCCGCAUAUCAACAUUUAAUCAUAUUGGAUAAAUUUAUCAGCA